CUUUUGGAAUAAACACUCUUAGGCAUAUGUAGGUAUUCAUGUGGCUUGGUACCUUUUGCCUGAGACCCCUUCAAGCUAUAUAAUACACCUGACAGACUAUACUGUUAUCUGUAUCUUAAGCAUCCAUUUCCAACACCCUAUCAGAGAAAAGAUCUUGUUUAUUCCAAAACACAGAUUUGUCAAUCCCAAAUAAUCUUUGCUUGGCUAAGGAAGUUUGUGAGAAAGAGGAACAGCUGUCAGAAAAGGAAUAUCAAAAUACAAAAGGCUAACUUAUCUUUCUUUCCAGAGGCAGCAGUGAUCCAUUUAAUACUGCCUUAUCUGCAUGGCUGUAUGUUUCCAAGAUUAGGUAAAGAGCUGCAGAUUCUGCUAAAGAAUAUCAGAAGAAAAUUUUCUGAGUUAUGUAGUCUUUUCCAGCUGAGGAUCCCCUGCUCCAUUCCCGUCUCACACACACAUACCUUCAUUGCAAGGCAACCUUUUAUGUACAUCUUCAGUAAUUCUUAUCUCAGUUCUUUGAGCUCUAUUAAGUGA